rnacentral:rRNA from 1 species
UACGUAGGGGGCAAGCGUUGUCCGGAUUUAUUGGGCGUAAAGAGCGCGUAGGCGGCUAGGCAGGUCCGUUGUGAAAACUCGAGGCUCAACCUCGAGACGCCGGUGGAAACCAUCUAGCUAGAGUCCGGAAGAGGAGAGUGGAAUUCCUGGUGUAGCGGUGAAAUGCGCAGAUAUCAGGAAGAACACCCGUGGCGAAGGCGGCUCUCUGGUACGUGACUGACGCUGAGACGCGAAAGCGUGGGGAGCGAACAGG